UCAUGGCUCCACCCUGCCACCCCACCUCCCUGUACCCUUGGGCCUUUGCCCAGGCCAGGGGACCAAGCUCCCCCAGGUCCCAGCUCUAUGCCCUCAGAAAGUCCCUCCCUCCAGGGCUCAGUGUCCCUGUAGUGGAGGGGGCCUUCCUGGGGCGGUUGGUGCCUCGAUCGGGGACUCUGUCCUGUGGCCUGUCCACUCGGGCCUCCAGUGGUCUCCCCUCCUGCCCUGCCCUGCCCUGAACCUUCCAGAUGCCCCCUCCCGGCCCAGCGGGCCCUCCCUGCAGACUUGCUGGUCUGGUUGGCUCCCACUGCGGGUCCCCUGCCCGCUCCCUCCCCCGCCUGGACGCGCAGGCUCUUGGUGAGGUGCCCAAAGCCGCGGGUGCCCUUCCCAAGCCCUUGCCCUCGGUUAUCUCGCCUGUCUGCACGGCACCUGGAGGCCAGGGGACAGCUGCUCCUUGCACAGACCUGGAUUUCUGCACAGCUGCUAGCGGGCCAGGGAGUCUGCGUACCUCAGUGCCCCAAGAGCCACCGGGGCUCACAGCCAUCCCCGUCCAGGCGGUCACCACAGCCAGGCCGGGCUGGGGAGUGUCCUCCACAUGCCUUGUGGCUCCCUGGGUCCCCACCCUGGGAUUCCAGGGGGACCCUCUGUACUAUGUCGCAGGCCAUUCUGGCCGCCUGGGCCCCCGUCCCCUUCCUGACAGGGACCUGGACGCAGACCUGGACCCGAGGCCCUGAAGCUGAACGUUGACCCUGCCCCAGGUUUAGACCCCGUGGCGUCAUAUGGGAAUCCUGGGAGGACACCUUACAGCAGGGUCCCUGAGCCCAGGAGGACACUCUGUGUUCCCCUGAGCCGAGGUCUUCGGACAGUGGGGGUCCAGCCAUAAAACCUCAACCCCCUGAGUGUCAAGAGCAGCUGUGACAUGGCUCAGCGCAGCUUCUCCAGAGCACGGCUCCUGCUGUCCCACCUGCUGGCACCGCAGACACCAAGAGCACGGGGAGGGAGAGCAAGGGAGCCGUCAACCGCGUGUCCACUCCUGGGGACAAGCUCGGAAGAGGCCGUGUAUUAGGGUCUCCAGUCACGAUCCAGUCACUCUACAGAUGCCCUACCCCGCGUCCACCUUGCACGGGGCGGACACCUGCCCGCCGGGGCUGGCCGUGGGCAAGACGGACCAUGCGAUUGCCAAAGAGACCAGAGCAGGACAGAGUAGAAAAGUGACAAAGGACACUCCUGAGGUAUCACCAUGGAGGGAGCCGGCUUCACUCCCCAUGGGGUGGCCACAGGGCAGGGCGGCGUGGGCAGGGUGGCCACUCCAGAGCCCACCUGGGGCAGUGCGACCAGGAGUUGGGCCAGAGAUAAAGGUGUCACCCACUGAGGUGGGUUCUCACUGAGCGGGCGGGAGCGGUUCUCACUAAAGUCAGGAGAGCGCAGAGGACGCCCAGAAGCCCCAAGGUCCAGGCCCCCUCGAGAGGCAGUUUGGGGGAGCCCAGCCCAAGCUUGCUGAGGAGACCCUCCAUCAUGGCUGUGGAACUGGCCUGGGGACCCACACCAGGCUCUGGCCCAGUUUGGGAAGAGAGAAUGUUCUGGGAAAGCUGAAGGGGGGCAUCCUGGAGGCAAGGAGCAGAAUGUGACCCCCAGACCAGGGCAGCGGAACCACAGGGCCCUGGGCUGGGAGCACAGAUCUAGGGAGAUGGCCCAGGAGGUUCCAGAUCACCCUCUGCAGUCUCCACCCUCUGCAGACAGAGCUCAGUGAGGUCGGCCUCUCAGCUGACGAAGUGCCCACACAAGCCCCUGCCUGUCACGUGACCUACCAGCAGAAGUGCGGGGGCCACUCUCUUCCCCAUGUCCCUCAUGUGGUGGACGGAGGGCAGUGUCCCACCGCCCAGGAGCAGUCAGUGGAAAUUGGGAAACAGGGUAACUUUUUCCAAAUGUUCCAGCAAACCCAGGCGCGGCCCGCAGCGGGGUGUUUGGCCUUCGGAAGUCACAAACUGCAGAGGGGGCUCAUGGGGUCCUGCGUGUCCACGCAGAGAGCCCGUGGCCCUUGACCCUUCCUUACUGUGGUGUUGGCCUUGGGGACCCACCUGGAGGGACCAGCUGCCCUCAACUAGGUGGCGCCUGUGGGAGACCAGAGGGCGAAUUGGCGUUUGUUCCCCACACUCCCUGCCUAAAGGGCCACCCGGGGGGCUGUGUCGUGUCCUGCCCAGCUGCCCCUCCCAGUGACCUCCUGUGCCACCGGAAGCUCCCUAUUCUCGGUCUCCAAACUUCCACUUGAAGUCUGGGGACAUGAGUCUCAGGCCACAAUAGAAACCAGGACCAGGGCAUGAGGUCACAGUCAGGCCAGCCCGGUGGUGUUGACAGACACAGUCAGUCGGGGAGGGUCACCGUGCCCCAGAACCCUGGGAGGUGGGUUCAGAUGUGAGAACGGCCACACCCUCUGCCGGCCACUGGUGGGCAGGUACUGCUGCUGCCGUCCCAGAAAGCGGCCAGAGGCCCAGUGAAGUGGCCACUUGGCUAGAGCGGCCCUGCUGGUGCCCACCACCCCGGGGCGCUGUCCUGGGUUCGGCUGCAGGCCACGCGGCUCCUCUGACUCUCUGGUAUCCCCCGUCUCAUUUCUGUCUCUGACCAGUAACAAUUCCCAGGGAACCGGCUUCCAGCCCUGGGAGGGGAGAGGGAGGUGACCCAGACACAGGGAGGGGACAGCAGAUUCCCAUGACCUCCUUUUCUCCCGUGUGAGUACUGCCCCCGGGACCCACCUGGACGGGGUGGCCUUCUUCCCACAGCACUCCCCAACGGACACCGCACCCAUCUCCCGCCAGAUGGCCACGGAGACAGGCUCUGCCCCUAGAGUGGCAGGGCAGGUGGAGCCGGCCACGUAGGCAGGCUGUUUUCCCCAGAGACACCGCCCAAUCUCGCAGUCUGAGUGACUUGGGAAGGACAGUCCCCCAGGGAGCCACAGAGUCCACCACCCAGCACCUGAGUGACUCAUCUCUUUCCAGAAGCUUCUGGUAGCCUCUGCUCCUGACCCCAAGGAGGCCCACUGACAAGUACACUAGGGACGGCGGAGCAGACCCUCUGUGUGUGCAGCGCCAGAGACGGGUUUUUGCUGUAGGAUAUUCACAGCCCCAAAGUGUUCCCCACAAAUUAUCUUUUAUUCACAAAGCGGAAGACAGUGGCUUUUCAGGGGAGAAGGAUGAUCAGUGAUCAAACUGGCAUCCACAGGGGGCUGAGCCUGCACCCUGACAGGACACGAGGAGACACGUCACUUCUGCGCUGUCCCUACCCAAGCAGGCCACCCAUAUCUCAGCUGAGACAAGCCAAACUGAGGGACGCUGGACGGAGUAACUGGCCCAUAUUCUUCAAAAAUGUCAGCAGCACAGAUUCUUCCAAGGGAGGAGCAGAGGCGCAGGGCCGCUGAGUCCUGGGAUCUGGCCCGACUGUAGAGGGGACGGACAGCUGGCUGGACCACGGGCAGCUGCUGGGCUCGAGUGUGAGCCAGAGCAGAUGUGACCUGGAAGUGGAAGGGCUGUAGCAGAGCCGUGGCCCCAUUCACUUCCUGUGUGACCUAAGAGCACCCAGGUCCCCGAGUUUCUCCAGCCCCUCAGUCAGUCCCCAGGCCCCGACUUCCUCUCAGGAACAGGAACGGUCUUUGUCAUCGGGGCACCCGAGGCUGCUGGCCAGGGAGCGGCCUGGCCUCCCGUGGGGCCUGCGUCUGUUCCUGGAGCUGACUGGCACUGCCCUGGGGACCAGCCGACCGACAGUCGCCUCCUGCCAACGGCUUCCUGGCUGGGGCCUGGGCGGGCAGCUCCGGCUUCUCCUCCCGCGUGUCUAAGUGGGGGCCUGGCCUCUGCUCCCACCCACUCUUAGCUGUCCUUGGCCCACCUGCCAUCUGGGGGUGAUUCACCACCCGCCAGUCACCUCAUUCAACAAGAGGCCUGAGGGAGGCCAGGCUGCAGGCUGGUCCUGGGAGGGACGGGGCCACUGGGCUUGGGCACAGCUGGGCUUGGGCACAUCCCCCACUGGGUCACAAUGGCACCCCGGGGACAGGACCCCAAAGCCACCAGCACGAAGCUGCACACGCCAGGAGCCCAGUGCAGGUCUGGGUCAGGAGCCACACUGUCCACCCCACAGCUCAGACGGCCCUCCUCAGGGGGCCACAGUGCCCACGGGCAGCGGUGUCCUCCCCUUCCCCUUCCGUCUUCAGGACAGACUCCAGGAAACCCUCUUCUCUCUUUAUUGAGGGGGGGGCUCUGCACCAGGCUGCUCCACCAGGCGUUUCCCUUCCCAGGUGUCCAUCCGGUGUGAGCCACGGGCACGGUGGGCGACGUGGUGACCCCGUGUCCUUACCCACGGCCCCUUGCCCCCUCCUGCAGGGACUGCCCAUGGCUGCUCUGGGUGGCUCUGGGAUGGGGACCUGCAGAGUGUAAGGCCCCGCUCCUGCCCAAGGCCGGAAGCUGGCCCUGCAGAGCGGGCCCUGGGUCAGGUGCCCUGGUCAGCUCAAAAGGGCCCUCCUCUGAGCCCUUGAACCAUGAAUUUUUUACCCUAUUGUUUUAUUAAAUAAAUAAUGAAUGAAAUAAAGCUCGUGGACUAACAUAAA